rnacentral:rRNA from 1 species
AUUGAACGCUGGCGGCAGGCCUAACACAUGCAAGUCGAACGAGCGGCGGACGGGUGAGUAAUGUCUGGGAAACUGCCUGAUGGCGGGGGAUAACUACUGGAAACGGUAGCUAAUACCGCAUACCAUCAGAUGUGCCCAGAUGGGAUUAGCUAGGAGGUGGGGUAACGGCCCACCUAGGCGACGAUCCCUAGCUGGUCUGAGAGGAUUACCAAGCAAAACGGAACGAAGCAACGGUCCAGAAGCCUACGAGAGGCAGCAGUGGGGAAUAUUGGACAAUGGGCGCAAGCCGUAUGCAGCGAGGCCGAGUGUAUGAAGAAGGCCUACGGGUUGUAAAGUACUUUAAGCGGGGAGGCAUUACCCGCAAAAGAAGCACCGGCUAACUCCGUGCCAGCCGCCGCGGUAAUUC